GGAGGAUGUAAAAGUCGUUGUCGAGGUCAACAUUAAGUUUAGAGCCAGAUAAUAGGGUAACUGCUUGAUCACCCUUGCUGUGAUUUUCUAGCAAAGCUCUUUGUUUUCCAUUCCUGAUGAUCACUGCCCUUCACUUUCCACAGUAACUCUCCCCUCGUACUGACGAACAGGAAAAAAACACUCAAGUCCUUUCUUACAUAAUGUGUUUUUUUGCAGGAGAUCCAGAACUCAAAGAUCCUUGAUGCUUUUUAUCAAUUCCACUAAACGUCAAGGACAGGAAAUAAAAACAUUUUUCUCUUCCGACUCAAACACAAUACCCCUUUGUGAAGCUGCUAAAAAUCUAGAAAUGGCAAAUCUGGGAAAAUUUUCAGAAACCUGGCCAAGAUGUGAAGACCCAGACUGUGGCGCUAUGUUUGGGACUCAGAGGUCUGACACGGGAGCUGAGACUCAGACCAAAGAAUUAAGAUAGUAACAACAUGUUGUCAAUUAAUCAUGCUCAUAAGGUGGUCAAAAUGACCAUGAGGACACAUUUCAGUCUACCGGACAGUAUGCCAGCUUUCAUUCUUGUGCUCAAAGACAAAGAAGAAAGCUUUAAUUUGGUGCAAUAUGGGCCGAAAGUUUAGUUGUCAUAUAUAUUAAACUCAGCCUACAGUCUUACUUGAGU
rnacentral:lncRNA from 1 species